UCUGGGCGGCCUCCGUUUUUGGAGGAUAUAUUUUAUCCUUCGUAUCUGAAGGAUAGCGGUCGCGCCACCUAUCGGAGAUUUCAAAACAAAUGAUCGAGGUCGGGAUUCGCAAUAUUCCUAUUGUAAACUUUGACGUCUGCAAGUUGUGAUUGAUAGAUUGAUAAUUGUUAAAAGCCGAGUUAAAAUUGUUAAACUUUGACGUCUGCAAGUUGUGUAAGUAUAAGGAUCAUUAGAGCCAAUCGCAAAAUACCUAAAGGAUUACAUUGUUUGUGACGAGCUGACGCUUUGCUGUCGAGAACUUUAAAUUCUACGUCACAUUCUCGCCACAUCAAAGGAAGUAGCCGAGAUAGCGUCUCUCCCACGCUAAAGUCGGUCAGCUGCAAUACACAUCGCCGACGUUUAACGGGUUCACAAUAGGGGACAGAAAACACAAAUUUUAUUGAACAGUUUAAAAAGAGCAUUAUUUAUAUUAUAAUUAUGCAUUUUUUUUUAGAGUCCAUAAUAAAUUAAAGCCGUAAAAAUUUAAUUUUAUAGCAUUUACCAUUUGUGUACAUGGCACGGUAUACAUGCGAUAUGAAAUGAUGUACAUGUAUGAUCAAUUUAAAUUGCUGUAUUUUAAGUAUUCGUCCUGGUCAUUCUUGGAUUGUGUAGUAUUUUAAUUGUUUCAAAUCACUAGUACUGUUGAUGUGAAAUGAUUUUUCUGUGGAAAAGAGAAAUGUUUGUUAAAUCGUUCGUUUUUUGAUUAUCGAAAAAGAAGAAGGAGAAAAUGGAUUGAUUGAGAUAGGGAUCCAGGAGGUACCGAAAAAGGGACAAUGCUUUGACUGAAUGUGCCAUUCAUUUACAUGUACCAGUGUAGAUCUGUUACUGAGGCAUAUCCAAUAAUUCUUAUACUCAUGAAGAGUGUGGCAACUGACAACUUCCAAGUAUUGAUGUUGGGACUCAUUUUAAAUCAGAUGCUCUCACUUCUAGGAUGUUUCCAAGUUCUUGUUAAAAGUGUUUGAUAUGGCACCAUUCAGCUACAAAUAUUUUGCCAGUGGAACUGUGACAUCAAUCAAUUGCUCAUGCACUGCUAAUUGGCAGAGAAUUUCCUUUGGGACAAGCAAACUGUUUCAAACAUUUUACACCAGCAAGUAGUGAUGAGUGUACUGGAAGGUUUUAAGGAUCUCUUCCAACAUCAUAGGUACAACUGGUCACUGUGCUUGCUUGGUUAUAUAAGCUGGCAUAUUGUUAAGGCAGUGACAUAUGUAGCUCCACUUGACUGUUUUUC